AUUGAACGCUGGCGGAAUGCUUUACACAUGCAAGUCGAGCGGCAGCGCGGUCUUCGGACUGGCGGCGAGCGGCGAACGGGUGAGUAAUACAUCGGAACAUGCCCAGUCGUGGGGGAUAACACUUCGAAAGAAGUGCUAAUACCGCAUACGUCCUGAGGGAGAAAGCGGGGGAUCGCAAGACCUCGCGCGAUUGGAGUGGCCGAUGUCAGAUUAGCUAGUUGGUGGGGUAAAGGCCUACCAAGGCAACGAUCUGUAGCUGGUCUGAGAGGAUGAUCAGCCACACUGGGACUGAGACACGGCCCAGACUCCUACGGGAGGCAGCAGUGGGGAAUUUUGGACAAUGGGGGCAACCCUGAUCCAGCCAUUCCGCGUGAGUGAAGAAGGCCUUCGGGUUGUAAAGCUCUUUCGGCAGGAACGAAACGGUGAGCUCUAACAUAGCUCGCUAAUGACGGUAC
rnacentral:rRNA from 1 species